rnacentral:rRNA from 1 species
GACGAACGCUGGCGGCGUGCCUAAUACAUGCAAGUAGAACGCUGAAGGAGGAGCUUGCUUCUCUGGAUGAGUUGCGAACGGGUGAGUAACGCGUAGGUAACCUGCCUGGUAGCGGGGGAUAACUAUUGGAAACGAUAGCUAAUACCGCAUAAGAGUAGAUGUCGCAUGACAUUUGCUUAAAAGGUGCAAUUGCAUCACUACCAGAUGGACCUGCGUUGUAUUAGCUAGUUGGUGAGGUAACGGCUCACCAAGGCAACGAUACAUAGCCGACCUGAGAGGGUGAUCGGCCACACUGGGACUGAGACACGGCCCAGACUCCUACGGGAGGCAGCAGUAGGGAAUCUUCGGCAAUGGACGGAAGUCCGACCGAGCAACGCCGCGUGAGUGAAGAAGGUUUUCGGAUCGUAAAGCUCUGUUGUAAGAGAAGAACGAGUGUGAGAGUGGAAAGUUCACACUGUGACGGUAUCUUACCAGAAAGGGACGGCUAACUACGUG